CGUGAGGAUCUGCCUUCAGGAGAGGGAUAACGACUGGAAACGGUCGCUAAUACCUCAUAUGCCUAAGGGUGAAAAGUUAUAUCGCCUGAAGAUGAACUCGCGUCAGAUUAGCUAGUUGGUGGGGUAAGGGCCUACCAAGGCGACGAUCUGUAGCUGGUCUGAGAGGAUGAUCAGCCACACUGGGACUGAGACACGGCCCAGACUCCUACGGGAGGCAGCAGUGGGGAAUUUUCCGCAAUGGGCGAAAGCCUGACGGAGCAAGACCGCGUGGGGGAUGAAGGUCUAAUGAUUGUAAACCUCUUUUCUCUAGGAAGAUGAUGACGGUACUAGAGGAAUCAGCCUCGGCUAACUCCGUGCCAGCAGCCGCGGUAAUACGGAGGAGGCAAGCGUUAUCCGGAAUUAUUGGGCGUAAAGCGUCCGUAGGUGGUUUUUCAAGUCAGCUGUCAAAGCGUGGGGCUUAACUCCAUAGAGGCAGUGGAAACUGAGAGACUAGAGUGCGGUAGGGGUCGAGGGAAUUCCCAGUGUAGCGGUGAAAUGCGUAGAUAUUGGGAAGAACACCAGUGGCGAAAGCGCUCUGACUGGGCCUGCACUGAUCCUC
rnacentral:rRNA from 1 species